rnacentral:tRNA from 1 species
GGAGAGGUGGCCGAGUGGUCGAAGGCGCUUGACUCGAAAUCAAGUAUACCUUUACGGGUAUCGUGGGUUCAACUCCCACCCUCUCCA